GCAACGCGAAGAACCUUACCAGGGCUUUGACAUGCGCUGACCGGUUUAGAGAUAGACCUUUAUCCUUCGGGUACAGCGGACACAGGUGGUGCAUUGGUUGUCGUCAGCUCGUGUCGUGAGAUGUUGGGUUAAGUCCCGCAACGAGCGCAACCCUUGUCUUUAGUUGCCAUCAUUAAGUUGGGCACUCUAAAGAGACUGCCGAUGACAAAUCGGAGGAAGGUGGGGAUGACGUCAAAUCAUCAUGCCCUUUAUGUCCUGGGCUACACACGUGCUACAAUGGUCGGUACAACGAGAAGCAAGCCAGCGAUGGCAAGCAAAUCUCUAAAAGCCGAUCCCAGUUCGGAUUGCAGGCUGCAACUCGCCUGCAUGAAGUCGGAGUUGCUAGUAAUCGCGGAUCAGAAUGCCGCGGUGAAUGCGUUCCCGGGUCUU
rnacentral:rRNA from 2 species